rnacentral:pre_miRNA from 1 species
CGGAGUGAGAAGCUUGUAAUAGUCAUCAGGAAUAGGAAAUUAGGGAGACUGAUCACUAGGUGGAGGAGCGGAGGAGGAGGCUCCGCCAGGACUAGCAUGAGUGCCGCAAGAGGAAACAUCACCUGUUGCGAAGAAUGAGAAGCAGCGGUGUCAACAUGAGAUGAAGGAAGAGUAGCAGCGGUGUUGUGACUGUUACGAGCUUCUGCAAAUCCUACUUUCACAAUCCUGAUGACUAUUAUGAGCUUCUGCAAGUC